GACUAGAAGAAGAAGAAGAACUUUAAAAUAGAUUAGCAUAACUCAUUAUUUCUUGGGCACUUCAAAGCAGGUAAGGUAUAGAAUUUUCUUAAGCUGUUGCAAUGGGAGCCGUUGUUUCUCUGGCGUUCAUGGCUUCGAACCUCAGUUCCGAA